rnacentral:misc_RNA from 1 species
GUCCAGCUAUUGAGCAUAAUCUUCCGAUUUCUCCUUUCUCUCGACCAAAAUAGCUGCGGGAGUGAGGUUAAGCCUCCGGAAGUGAAAGAAAAAGUCUCUCUGCGCUUUUGCUUUGCUGUAGACUGCUGCUGGUAGGUAAACUUAUUCUUCAAUGGCGGCGGCGAGGAUAAGAGUAUCAUCAAUCUUGGCAAUAACAGUAAUUGCAGCCUCUCUCAGUUUGGCAUCUACCACCACUCCUCAGGUUGAUUUUGUGAAGAAAACCGUAUCUUCCCACAAGAUCGUCAUCUUCUCCAAGUCGUAUUGCCCAUACUGUAGGAGGGCCAAAGCUGUUUUUGAAGAAUUGAAGGAGGUACCACACGUUGUUGAGCUGGAUCAGAGAGGUUUGUUCACAAACUUCAUCAUCAAUUUCAAUGCUGAAGCAGAAUGUAGAUCUAAUCAUAGAGAAAUUUUGAACGACAAGACCUAAUCUACUUAAUGUCCCUGCCCCCUCCAACGCGCACACAUAAAAAUCUAAUUAUAAAAAUAACAGGAAAUCAAGGAAUAACUAAACUUGCUUCCUUGUUAUAGCAAUAUGCUUUGCUUGAUAUUGUUGUGUAAAUCUCCUGCCUCUGUUUUGAGCUCUGCUUUAAAUAUUGGCAUGCAUAAGGCUAUAUUUUAGUAACAAUGGAUUGCUUGGUAGAGCAAGUUACAUUUUUGGCAUUUGAACUUUAAAUUUUAUCCAGUGCUUGUGUGAUUUGGCUGGAAAGUAACCAAUUAUCCUACAGAUGAUGGGCAGGACAUUCAAGAUGCCCUGAGUAAAAUUGUUGGUAGGCGUACAGUUCCGCAAGUUUUCAUAAAUGGAAAGCACAUUGGUGGCUCUGAUGAUACAGUUGAAGCUUAUAAAAGUGGAGAACUGGCUAAGCUUCUAGGUAUUGCUGGUAAGGAUGAUCUCUGAUCCAGUACUAUACUCGGUGUCAGUUACCAGAAUAAUGUGCCAAAGCAAUGCACAUGAUGUGACUUUUUCUACUGUUGGACAAGACCGUUAAAAUGGUUUUGCAUUCUGAUUCAAUAUGGCCAUCAAUAUAUGGGCAAAUUAUUAAAACUAUGCUUGUUUCUUCAUUGGUUCUAUCCAAGUAUCGUGGACAGUUUUCUCAAUUUUUUUUACCCCUCCAGGUUGCACAGAAUAAAAUUAUGGAUAUAGCUUUACAUUUUAUCUAUGCUCGUCGAAUAUGUUGGUUAGGAAAAGCUUUUUCAAAUUAGCAAGUGAAGUAAAAAAAAAAUGGAGUGCCAAUAU